CUUCGGCUGGGGAGAUCCUUACUCUCCAUGGCCACCAGAUGGCGAAGGCUGCCCGCGGCCCAGAAGAGAGAGGAGCCUGCAGACCCGCGCGGAAACUCUGCUGCGGGACCUGGAGGCCAAGGGUGAGGCGUGGGGUCCUCCUCCACUCCAACUGUGUGGGGAAACCUGGGUAGAACUUAAAGUUACAAAAGUCAUUGUGCAAGCCCUGCUGUCCCCACAAGGGCUUAUAGGAAGGGGUUCGGAGCUUUUCAAGGAGGCAGGGGAAAAUUAAACUCGUGUCUCUUAAUGUGUAUUUGGUGGGAGGGGAAUGCUGCCUGAAAUAAUGCAUUGCUUCGGCGGCGGUCAGAGAUCCAUGUGACGCGGGGGCACUUUAGGGACCAUUGCUGAGGGCCUGGUUAGCAUUUGGGCAGCUGAAUCCUUCCCUUGGCGAACUCCAUACGUGCCCUCGGCGACACACAGAGGACUCCCAGAGUUGAAGAAGGGGGUGGAUGUGUGUGUGCGCACUCGCCCACGUCUCGUGUUUUACUUUUCAUUUAAGUCGUAAUAAGGAGAAAUUCGAUGACCAGCAAGGCUGGAGUCCCAUCGUCUUGUUGGGGGAGAGGGGGGAGAAGAAAAAGGUGCCUGUAACUUCAGACUGUCCAAGAUAUCGCUUAGCUCCUGCGCCCGGAAGAAAAUCCAGCGCAGGUCGGGUUCCGGCGCGCGGAAGCCCUGCGAACCCCAAAUGUGUGCGCUGAGCCGAGGCCUCUAAGCGGUAGGAGAGAAUCUGACCUCCGACAUUCUUUUCAAGACACGCGCCGGUGGACCGGGUCCUGGGAUUGGCUUACUCCCGGGCUGGACCUUGGGGUUCGCAUAUUUGAAAGCGUAAACUUGAGGAAUGACGGCGGGGUGAUGGGUAUUUUAUAGAGUGGGACUCAAUCGUGCUCAGCAACAGAUUUCUCCAAAUUCCCUUUUAAAAAGAGCCUCCCAGAGCUGUCGAAAUCUCCGCGGGGUGAAAGCUAAACUUUUGGAGUCGCUGUGUAGCCGGGUAGAGGACACGGCGGCGCGAGCCGGAAAGGCAGGUUUAAUUCGGAAAGAAGAGACUGCAGAGGAGAGGGAAGACCGUGAGUCUGCUUUCACCUAGGUUUAAAGCGAAUCAAAGACGGCUGUAAAAAGGGAAACCGGGACCAAAAACAGAUUUGGAGCCUCGAAACUCUCCAUUGAAGGUUUGGAAGAUACGUUGCUGCAGACUUGAAACCGGCUCCAAAUCCGGCCCAAACAUGGGCUGAAAAUAUGGCGCGCUAAUCUGCUGCUUCCCCUCCUCCUCAAGUUCUUUCUGACUCUUCCCACCUUUCCCAGUUUCCCUUCCAGACGUCUGCGGCUCCCCACUCCACCCCCAGGAUAGCUACUCUACAUCCCGACAAUUCCCAGCUUCUACACCCAGGAGGAGGAAUUCUGGAACCACCCAGAGCGAACUCGUGCCGGGGCGGGGUGGGGACCGGAGGAAGGUCCUGCUCCGAAUUCUCUCCAGAGCAGAAAAGAAUUCUAGAGGCUACAUGUGGGCUGCUUUCCCCCCUUCUUCCUUUUUUCCCUCGCAAACCAACAACCAAAAAGUGUUUGGUGAUGGAAAGAACACCAGUGGAAAACGGCAAAUAACAGUAUUUCCAACUCCGAGUCAGGUCCUCUUUGCACUGCUUUUUCCUGUUUCAUUGCAAUUUAUUGAUUUUAUUGUGGUUUUUUGUUUAUUUGGGGCAAGAACGGAGAUGUGAACCAGGACGAGCCAGCAGACCCCCGAGCCAGUAUCUCCUCCCUGGGCAGGGAACACCGCCUGCACCGGUGCAUACUAGGAGACCCUGGCGGAGAAUGUAAACAAACCGGGCGCCGAGCCCUUGAUCUUUAUUUAAAUAGAGGCUUGUUUAUCGGUGUCAUCCUAGGAGGAUUAAUUAGAUACAUCUCUUCACAAUUUGGUGUCUGACACUCCAUCUUAGGAAUGCCUUAUCAUAAGGUGUUAAUUGGGGCCACUCAGCCACUUACGUUUCUAUUAAACACUGUGAGGGACUUUUCACAAGUACCAGGUUCUUUUUUACUGUACGAUGCAAAAACAUACAGGACCCGAAAUAGACUAGGGCCAGAAUCUGCUAUAUCCCGGCAGUGAUUAGCACUUUGGGGCUUUCUAGAGGGCAGAAAUAGGAGAGCACUGUUUUCGAAAUUCCAUCGCAUCUCCCAAUAUUCGGUGGUUGGAUGCAGAUGUAAGGGGGCUGUUGGGGGUGUGGGGAAGGCGCUGACCAGGAUAGGGGGGCUAUGAGUCUCCCUUCCGGAAUCUAAAUCAGUCAUCCACAGUACAUAUAUCUUAAAAAGCACAUCUUCAACGCUUUUGUCCUUGGCUCCCCGGUAAAGUUCGGGGCGCCUUUGCCAAAGUGUUUUGAGUAGGCCGUUCGGAAACGCGGAGCAGGAGUUCGAGCCCCCAAGGUCACGGGUGGCGCGGGAAGAACUCGGGCCCCAGAGGGACGGAGGGGAAGGGAGACAGGACAGUCGAGGUACAAGGUCCUGGCGGCCUUAAUUGGGCGCAGAAGGGGAGGAGGUCUCGGCUGAUUGCUCGCCUCCCAGCAGCUAAUCCUCUUAGCAGCUGCAUUUCCGCGCUACACAGUUAGCAGAAUGAUCCUCCCAGCUAGACCUUUACCCCGG
rnacentral:lncRNA from 1 species